UAGCAAAGACCAAAAAGUGUUAUAUGAUCUGAGAGGAAAUUUCUGAAUUUAUUUUUUUGUUGCUUCAUUUUGUUCGAAUUUUAAAAAUAAAUUCGUUCUGCGUGUGUGUGUGUGUGUUUUUACCUUGGCAAAAUGUCCAAGACACACACGCCGCAUGGCUAU
rnacentral:sRNA from 1 species